rnacentral:lncRNA from 1 species
CACACUAGCAAAAUUUGAGGAAACUACAAUACAUUAGCCAAUAGCAAUUGUGCUGACCAACGUCAUACUAGAAACAUACUCACCCAGAGAGAGCCCAGUGAGAGAGAGAACUACCCUGCUAGAGCUGCCCUAGAAAACAGUAAGCUAUUAUUGUGGAAAUGGUAGCAUUUGGGUGCAUGAACAGAUCAGACAUGAAGCAGCAGACCAUACAAAUGAAAACAAUCACUUAGUUUGGACAAACCUCAGGCUGUGCUGGUGUUUUUGCCUGCCCACCCGAAGCAGAAACCAGUCCAAAAUGGAUAACAAAACAUCAAUGUUUAAAACAGUGUAAACAAAAGCAGUAUCACUUGAAAUUCUCCCAACACUGGGACUGUAGGAACACGCACAUGUCUUCUUUGAUACAGGAGAAGACUCUUUUUGAGCUGCAGCCAAUGCAGCAUCACUAGGACCAAGGCAUUCAGAGAAAACAGCCAGAUCCCCAGCUCUGAUACAACGGCUAACAGAUUCCUGUGUCAGCCAGCAUCAAAAUAGGAGUGAUGAGGGGAGAGACAGUGCCCUCUACUCACCCAAAGGGAACACUGGCCACUGUGAUCUCUCUGACCGCAUCUAAUUCAUACUAACUAUCCUUAGGCCAUGGUUUCAGCUUCAAAAAACGUGACCAAUUUGCGUGGGAUAAAAAACUUAGCAUAAAUGACUGAGAUGGGAGUAGCUACUCGAUUUUCGCACUUUCAGUUGGAACCAAUACAGCGAAAAAUGAAAAACUAAUUCUGAGUGUUGGCGGUAGUCUAAAUUUAGUUCUACAGACUAUCGCAUUAGACUAAACGGGCUUAGUCAUUCCUCUGUUGCCUCGUUUACUGCAGGCGGGUGAUAAACGUUUACGAGUGAAUUGUUGCCCUCUUGUGGACCCAAAAGACAUUACAUUCAUUUGCAGUGUGUAAACACUGCACUGACCUCCCCGGCCUGAAAUGUUUCUCCACACAACUCAUACUAACACACACUCACACUUACACACACACACAAACGUACAAAUUACCAGUCCAACCACCCACACACACACACACACACACACAGACGCACAGAGGCCCUCACUAGACCCCCAAUUUACACUGACUCACUAACAAAAUUGCACACAGCUAGCACAGGCAGUCACCUGCUUGCUUCGAGCAUCUCCCCCUCCUCUUCCUGUUUGCACCCCCACUCCCCCACCCACCUCCCCCAAACCAUUUUUUUCCUUUGGUGCUGGGCGGUUGCCAUGGCAACCAGCAUCAGGGAGCAGAUUGCCGGGGGUCUGAGGUCAAAUAUGUUUUCUGGAGCCCCUGCUACAGUCAGAGCCGUGGCAGCGCUCACAUUCGGUUCAUCUGUAACCUUGACUUUGGCGGUGAGCAACUGA